GAGAGCCGGAUGCGGGAGAACCGCACGUCCGGUUCGGAGGGGGGGGAGGUAGCUGGCUCUUCCUAUCCUUAU
rnacentral:ncRNA from 1 species